rnacentral:rRNA from 1 species
AGAGUUUGAUCCUGGCUCAGGACGAACGCUGGCGGCGUGCUUAAUACAUGCAAGUCGAACGAGAUCCAUCUGGUGGCAACACCAGUGAAGAUCGAGUGGCGAACGGGUGCGUAACACGUGAGGAACCUGCCCCGAAGACCGGGAUAACACCGGGAAACCAGUGCUAAUACCGGAUGCCCUCAUUAGCUCGCAUGAGCAUAUGAGGAAAUGGAUUCCGCUUCGGGAGGGCCUCGCGGCCUAUCAGCUUGUUGGUGGGGUAACGGCCCACCAAGGCGACGACGGGUAGCUGGUCUGAGAGGACGACCAGCCACACUGGGACUGAGACACGGCCCAGACUCCUACGGGAGGCAGCAGUAGGGAAUAUUGCGCAAUGGGCGAAAGCCUGACGCAGCAACGCCGCGUGGGGGAUGAAGGCCUUCGGGUUGUAAACUCCUUUUAGUGGGAACGAAAUUGACGGUACCCACAGAAAAAGCCCCGGCCAACUACGUGUCAGCAGCCGCGGUGAUACGUAGGGGGCAAGCGUUGUCCGGAUUUAUUGGGCGUAAAGAGCUCGUAGGCGGUUUGGCAAGUCGAUUGUGAAACCUCCAGGCUUAACCUGGAGACGCCAGUCGAUACUGCUAUGGCUAGAGUCCGGUAGGGGACCAUGGAAUUCCUGGUGUAGCGGUGAAAUGCGCAGAUAUCAGGAGGAACACCAGUGGCGAAGGCGGUGGUCUGGGCCGGUACUGACGCUGAGGAGCGAAAGCGUGGGGAGCGAACAGGAUUAGAUACCCUAGUAGUCC